rnacentral:rRNA from 1 species
AUUGAACGCUGGCGGCAGGCCUAACACAUGCAAGUCGAACGAGUCGCGGACGGGUGAGUAAUGUAUGUGAACCUGCUUGACGGAGGGGGAUAACUUCUGGAAACGGUAGCUAAUACUGCCUACCAUCAGAUGGGCUCAGGUGGGUUUAGCUUGUUGGUGGGGUAACGGCCCACCAAGGCGACGAUCCCUAGCUGGGCUGAGAGGAUGACCAGCCACACUGGAACGGAGACACGGGCCAGACUCCUACGGGAGGCAGCAGAGGGGAAUAUUGCACAAUGGGCGAAAGCCUGACGCAGCCAUGCCGCGUGUAUGAAGAAGGCCUUCGGGUUGUAAAGUACUUUCAGCGGGGAGGCGUUACCCGAAGAAGAAGCACCGGCUAACUCCGUGCCAGCAGCCGCGGUAAUAC